rnacentral:rRNA from 1 species
GUGCGGGAGCUAACGCGUUAAGCGCACCGCCUGGGAAGUACGGUCGCAAGACUAAAACUCAAAGAAAUUGACGGGGACCCGCACAAGCGGUGGAGUAUGUGGCUUAAUUCGAUGCAACGCGAAGAACCUUACCUAGGCUUGACAUGGAUUUCUAAGCACGUGAAAGCGUGUGACCCUUCGGGGAACUUCCACAGGUGCUGCAUGGCCGUCGUCAGCUCGUGUCGUGAGAUGUUGGGUUAAGUCCCGCAACGAGCGCAACCCUUGUGAUUAGUUGCCAGCACGUAAUGGUGGGAACUCUAAUCAGACUGCCCAGAUCAACUGGGAGGAAGGUGGGGACGACGUCAGGUCCUCAUGGCCCUUACGCCCAGGGCUACACACGUACUACAAUGGCCGGUACAGAAUGUCGCGAAACCGCAAGGUGAAGCUAAUCGUAAAAAACCGGUCUCAAUUCGGAUUGGAGUCUGCAACUCGACUCCAUGAAGCUGGAAUUGCUAGUAAUCGCGGAUCAGCAUGCCGCGGUGAAUACGUUCCCGGGCCUCGUACACACCGCCCGUCACGCCAUGGGAGUUGGUGCUGCCCGAAGCAACCGCAAGGUUUCUACGGCAGUACUGAUGACUGGGGUGAAGUCGUAACAAGGUAACCAAGGG